rnacentral:rRNA from 1 species
CGGACGGGUGAGUAACGCGUGAGAAUCUGCCCUCAGGAGGGGGAUAACGGCUGGAAACGGCCGCUAAUACCCCAUAUGCCGAGAGGUGAAAUGAAUUUCGCCUGAGGAUGAGCUCGCGUCUGAUUAGCUAGUUGGUGGGGUAAGAGCCUACCAAGGCAUCGAUCAGUAGCUGGUCUGAGAGGAUGAUCAGCCACACUGGGACUGAGACACGGCCCAGACUCCUACGGGAGGCAGCAGUGGGGAAUUUUCCGCAAUGGGCGCAAGCCUGACGGAGCAACGCCGCGUGAGGGAUGAAGGCCUCUGGGCUGUAAACCUCUUUUGUCAAGGAAGAAGAUCUGACGGUACUUGAUGAAUAAGCCACGGCUAAUUCCGUGCCAGCAGCCGCGGUAAUACGGGAGUGGCAAGCGUUAUCCGGAAUUAUUGGGCGUAAAGCGUCCGCAGGCGGUCUUGUAAGUCUGUCGUUAAAGCGUGGAGCUUAACUCCAUUUCAGCGAUGGAAACUGUAAGACUAGAGUGUGGUAGGGGCAGAGGGAAUUCCCGGUGUAGCGGUGAAAUGCGCAGAUAUCGGGAAGAACACCAGUGGCGAAGGCGCUCUGCUGGGCCAUAACUGACGCUCAUGGACGAAAGCCAGGGGAGCGAAAGGGAUUAGAUACCCCUGUAGUC